GUGCUCGUUUCGGCAGCGAAUAUAUUAAAUUGGAAAGAUACAGAGACAAUUAAUAUGGCCCCUGCGCAAGGAUGAGAUGUAAAUUAAUGAAAAGCAUUCUGUAAAC
ensembl:snRNA U6 U6 spliceosomal RNA